UACGUAGGGGGCGAGCGUUGUCCGGAUUUAUUGGGCGUAAAGGGCGCGUAGGCGGCACCGCAAGUCGACUGUGAAAUCUCCGGGCUUAACUCGGAAAGGUCAGCCGAUACUGCGGGGCUAGAGUGCAGAAGGGGCAACUGGAAUUCUCGGUGUAGCGGUGAAAUGCGUAGAUAUCGAGAGGAACACCUGCGGCGAAGGCGGGUUGCUGGGCUGACACUGACGCUGAUGCGCGAAAGCUAGGGGAGCGAACGGG
rnacentral:rRNA from 1 species